AACGAACGCUGGCGGCAUGCCUAACACAUGCAAGUCGAACGAGAUCUUCGGAUCUAGUGGCGCACGGGUGCGUAACGCGUGGGAAUCUGCCCUUCGGUUGGGAAUAACUGAGAGAAAUUUCAGCUAAUACCUUAUAAUGUCUUCGGACCAAAGAUUUAUCGCCGAGGGAGGAGCCCGCGUAGGAUUAGCUAGUUGGUGGGGUAAUGGCCUACCAAGGCGACGAUCCUUAGCUGGUCUGAGAGGAUGAUCAGCCACACUGGGACUGAGACACGGCCCAGACUCCUACGGGAGGCAGCAGUGGGGAAUAUUGGACAAUGGGCGAAAGCCUGAUCCAGCAAUGCCGCGUGAGUGAUGAAGGCCUUAGGGUUGUAAAGCACUUUUACCAGGGAUGAUAAUGACAGUACCUGGAGAAUAAGCUCCGGCUAACUCCGUGCCAGCAGCCGCCGUAAAAC
rnacentral:rRNA from 1 species